rnacentral:miRNA from 1 species
UGCAAACUUGAUCAGGUUUU